GAUGAACGCUGGCGGCGUGCCUAAUACAUGCAAGUCGAGCGAACGGACGAGAAGCUUGCUUUUCUGAUGUUAGCGGCGGACGGGUGAGUAACACGUGGAUAACCUACCUAUAAGACUGGGAUAACUUCGGGAAACCGGAGCUAAUAACGGAUAAUAUUUUGAACCGCAUGGUUCAAGAGUGAAAGACGGUCUUGCUGUCACUUAUAGAUGGAUCCGCGCUGCAUUAGCUAGUUGGUAAGGUAACGGCUUACCAAGGCAACGAUGCAUAGCCGACCUGAGAGGGUGAUCGGCCACACGGGAACUGGGACACGGUCCAGACUCCUACGGGAGGCAGCAGUAGGGAAUCUUCCGCAAUGGGCGAAAGCCUGACGGAGCAACGCCGCGUGAGUGAUGAAGGUCUUCGGAUCGUAAAGCUCUGUUAUUAGGGAAGAACAUAUGUGUAAUUAACUGUGCACAUCUUGACGGUACCUAAACAGAAAGCCACGGCUAACUACGUG
rnacentral:rRNA from 1 species